rnacentral:misc_RNA from 1 species
GAAAUGCGAUAAGUAGUGUGAAUUGCAGAAUUCAGUGAAUCAUCGAAUCUUUGAACGCACAUUGCGCCCUCUGGCAUUCCGGGGGGCAUGCCUGUCCGAGCGUCAUUACGCACCCUCAAGCCCGGCUUGUGUGAUGGGCCCCGGCGUCUCGUUCGCGAGACGGGCCCGAAAGGCAGCGGCGGCGUCGACCCGAUGAGCCCGAGCGUAUGGGGACUUCUGUCACACGUUCGCGGUGCGGACCGGCGCCUGCUUUGACUUUUCUGAUUAUCCAGGUUGACCUCGGAUCAGGUAGGGAUACCCGCUGAACUUAAGC